CAGAGGGGCAAGCGUUGUUCGGAAUUACUGGGCGUAAAGGGCGCGUAGGCGGCCUGCUAAGUCGAACAUGAAAUCCCCGAGCUCAACUCGGGAACUGCGUCCGAUACUGGCAGGCUUGAAUCCGGGAGAGGGAUGCGGAAUUCCAGGUGUAGCGGUGAAAUGCGUAGAUAUCUGGAGGAACACCGGUGGCGAAGGCGGCAUCCUGGACCGGCAUUGACGCUGAGGCGCGAAAGCCAGGGGAGCAAACGGGAUUAGAUACCCCGGUAGUCCUGGCCCUAAACGAUGAAUGCUUGGUGUGGCGGGUAUCGAUCCCUGCCGUGCCGAGGCUAACGCAUUAAGCAUUCCGCCUGGGGAGUACGGUCGCAAGGCUG
rnacentral:rRNA from 1 species